UACCAGCACCCCGAGAGGGCGGGACGUUUAUUGGGCCUAAAGCAUCCGUAGCCGGUUCUACAAGUCUUCCGUUAAAUCCACCUGCUUAACAGAUGGGCUGCGGAAGAUACUAUAGAGCUAGGAGGCGGGAGAGGCAAGCGGUACUCGAUGGGUAGGGGUAAAAUCCGUUGAUCCAUUGAAGACCACCAGUGGCGAAGGCGGCUUGCCAGAACGCGCUCGACGGUGAGGGAUGAAAGCUGGGGGAGCAAACCGG
rnacentral:rRNA from 1 species